rnacentral:rRNA from 1 species
UACGGAGGGUGCAAGCGUUGCUCGGAAUUAUUGGGCGUAAAGGGUAGGUAGGUGGUCUCAUUUGUCUGGGGUGAAAGCCUUGAGCUUAACUCAAGAAGUGCCCCAGAAACGGUGAGACUGGAGUCCUGGAGAGGGUCGUGGAAUUCCCGGUGUAGCGGUGAAAUGCGUAGAUAUCAGGAGGAACACCUGCGGUGUAGACGGCUUUCUGGACCAUUGCUGACGCUGAGACACGAAAGCGUGGGUAGCAAACAGG